rnacentral:rRNA from 1 species
UACGUAGGGGGCAAGCGUUGUCCGGAUUUAUUGGGCGUAAAGAGCGUGUAGGCGGCCAAGUAAGUCUGCUGUGAAAACUCGAGGCUUAACCUCGAGCUGUCGGCGGAAACUAUUUGGCUAGAGUCCGGAAGAGGAGAAUGGAAUUCCCGGUGUAGCGGUGAAAUGCGCAGAUAUCGGGAAGAACACCCGUGGCGAAGGCGGUCUCUGGGACGGUACUGACGCUGAGACGCGAAAGCGUGGGGAGCGAACAGG